CGCCGCUCCGAGGACCCUUCCCGUCGCCGCCUCGCUGUUCGGUCCUCGGCGGGCUCGCGGUCGUCGGGACGAUCGUCUAUGCGGUGAGCGCCGCCCGCUACUGGCACCUCUUCAGGCAUGGGCAGAAGCUGCUCCGACGGCCGUGAUUGCGUGCUUCCUGCUGCUCGCCGAAGCGAUGAUCGGGGUUGCGGUCACCGGCGAGCGCAAGUGGCACGCGAGCUGGUGGGAGUGGCACGGCCUGAUCCUCUUGGCCUACUUGAUCAUCGGCUUCGCGGCCCGCCGCGAAUGGCGUGACGAGCGCUUCCGGGCUCUUUACCUGCCGACGACCCGCGAACGGCGUCAAGAGGUAAGCGUGCUGUUCGGCGACCUCGUGGGCUUCACGGGCUUUUCCGAGCGCUCGACGCCGGCCGAGGUGGCAGCGGUGCUCAACGCCUACUGGGGCACCGCCGCGCCGCUGCUCACGCGCCGGUUCGGCGGGGAGAUCGAGAAGUUCAUCGGCGACGGGAUCGUCGCGACGUUCAACAGCCGCGGCGAUCAGCCGGAUCACGCGAUGCGGGCUUCGCGCGCCGCGCUCGCCCUGCAACGCGAGCUCGAGGCGCUCGUCGUCGAGCAUCCCGGCUGGCCGAGGCUGCGGAUCGGCAUCAACAGCGGGGACGCCGUUCUCCGAGAGGUCGGAGGAGCCGGCCACGUCGCUUAUCCCUUGCUCGGCGACACGAUCAACACGGGCUCGCGACUCGAGGGCCUCGCGCCUCCCGGCGGCGUCCUGAUCGGCGCGAAAACAUAUGACGAGCUGCCAGACGGCGCGCUUGUCGAGGCGCGAACCGGGCUGCGGGUCAAGGGCAAGAACGAUGCGAUCGACGCGUACGUGCUCCUCGCUCUCCCCGCCUGAUCCGGUCAGUAUUCGAGCCCGCUCCAGGCGCUCGUGCCGGUCGAGCGCGAGCUCGAUCAGCCGGUCGAGGAGCUCCGCGUACGGGAUUCCAGAGGCCUCGAAGAGCCGUGCGUAGACGCUCGUCUCGGUGAAGCCCGGAAUCGUGUUCAACUCGUUCACGACCACCUCGCCGUCCUCGCGGACGAAGAAGUCGACCCGUGCCAUUCCCUCGCACUCGGUCGCGACGAACGAUUCGAUCGCCAGCUCCUGCACUCGCGCCGCGGUCGCGUCGGGGAUGCGCGCCGGCACGACGAUGUCGGAGCCGCCGGCCGCGUACUUCGCGUCGUAGUCGUACCACUCCGCGUGCGGGACGAUCUCGCCGACGACCGACGCGAGCGGGGCCGGCGUGACGUUUCCGAGUACGCCGCAUUCGACCUCCGUGCCGGCGACGAACUCCUCCACCAGCACCUUCUCGUCGUGGCGCCGCGCGAGCGCGACGGCCGCUUCGAGCUCCGCCGCGUCGUGCGCCUUCGAGAUUCCGACCGACGAGCCGAGCCGCGCCGGCUUGACGAAGACCGGAUAGCCGAACGGAUUCUCGACGGUCUCGCCGAGCCGGAGAGUCGUGUUGCGCGCCACCGGAAUCCCGCGGUCGCGGAGGACAGCCUUGAAGAGAUCCUUGUCCAUGCACAGCGCCGAGGCGGCGACGCCUGCGCCGACGUAGGGAACGCCGGCGAGCUCGAGCAGCCCCUGGACGGUGCCGUCCUCGCCGAACGGGCCGUGCAGGAUCGGCAGGACGACGUCGACCGAGCCGAGCGCCUGCGCGGGCGAGCUCGACUCGGCGAGCACCGGGAGCGUCUCGAUCGAACUUUGUGUUGGAGCAACGCUUUCUCCGAGCUCCCAGCGUCCCUCUCGGCCGAUCGCGAUCUCGACCACGUCGUAGCGGCUUGGGUCGAGGGCGCCGAGAACGGAGCGCGCCGACGCGAGCGAGAUCUCGUGCUCGCUGGAGCGGCCGCCGGCCAGCACAGCCACGCGGAUUCGGCGGCUCACGGGUCGAUCGGAGCUGGAUCGAUCGGCACGGUGUCCGUCGGUCCCGUAUCCGCCGGAACGGUGUCCGUCGGCGGUGGGGGCUCGAGCAGGCGGCCGACGAAGAUCGUCACGGUCGUGCCGGGCUUCGCCUCUUGGCCACCGGGCGGAUCUUGGGAGAUCACGUUCCCGUCCGAGAGCGGAUCCUCGGUGUCCUGCGGAACGACGCGGACCCGGAAGCCAGAGCCUUCGAGCUGGCUCCGCGCCUGAUCCUCCUGCUGGCUCGUGACGUCCGGGAUCGCUGAUGUCGUCGGCCCUUCGGAGACCUGGAGCGUGAUCGUCGACCCCUUGGCGCGCGAGGUGCCGGCGUCGGGAUCCUGGCCGACCACGAUCCCGGCGGGCUCGUCCGACUCGACGUUUGUCCGGGCAACUCCGAAGCCGAUCCCCUGCAGCUGCGAGGCGGCCGACUCGUAGGCGACCCCGAUCACGCUCGGAACGGCGACCGGCUUCGGCCCGAUCGAGACGUUGAUCCGCACUGUCGACCCCUCGACGAGCACCGUGCCCGCCUUCGGCGCCUGCGCUGUGACGGUGUUGGCCGGCUUCUCGGAGUUGAUCUCCACCACCCGCGGCGUCAGACCGGCAUCGCGCAGGGCCACGACGGCGUCGUCGCGACGUCUCCCGACGACCCCGGGCACCCGCACCUUCGGCUUCCCGGUCGAGACGACGAUCGUGA
rnacentral:misc_RNA from 1 species